UACGUAGGGUGCAAGCGUUUAAUCGGAAUUACUGGGCGUAAAGCGUGCGUAGACGGUUACGUAAGUCGGGUGUGAAAGCCCCGGGCUCAACCUGGGAAUUGCAUUCGAGACUGUGUAGCUAGGGUGCGGAAGAGGGAAGCGGAAUUUCCGGUGUAGCGGUGAAAUGCGCAGAUAUCAGGAGGAACACCGGUGGCGAAGGCGGAUCUCUGGGCCUUACCUGACGCUCAGGCACGAAAGCUAGGGGAGCGAACAGG
rnacentral:rRNA from 1 species